rnacentral:rRNA from 2 species
UGCAAGUCGAGCGAACUGAUUAGAAGCUUGCUUCUAUGACGUUAGCGGCGGACGGGUGAGUAACACGUGGGCAACCUGCCUGUAAGACUGGGAUAACUUCGGGAAACCGAAGCUAAUACCGGAUAGGAUCUUCUCCUUCAUGGGAGAUGAUUGAAAGAUGGUUUCGGCUAUCACUUACAGAUGGGCCCGCGGUGCAUUAGCUAGUUGGUGAGGUAACGGCUCACCAAGGCAACGAUGCAUAGCCGACCUGAGAGGGUGAUCGGCCACACUGGGACUGAGACACGGCCCAGACUCCUACGGGAGGCAGCAGUAGGGAAUCUUCCGCAAUGGACGAAAGUCUGACGGAGCAACGCCGCGUGAGUGAUGAAGGCUUUCGGGUCGUAAAACUCUGUUGUUAGGGAAGAACAAGUACAAGAGUAACUGCUUGUACCUUGACGGUACCUAACCAGAAAGCCACGGCUAACUACGUGCCAGCAGCCGCGGUAAUACGUAGGUGGCAAGCGUUAUCCGGAAUUAUUGGGCGUAAAGCGCGCGCAGGCGGUUUCUUAAGUCUGAUGUGAAAGCCCACGGCUCAACCGUGGAGGGUCAUUGGAAACUGGGGAACUUGAGUGCAGAAGAGAAAAGCGGAAUUCCACGUGUAGCGGUGAAAUGCGUAGAGAUGUGGAGGAACACCAGUGGCGAAGGCGGCUUUUUUGGUCUGUAACUGACGCUGAGGCGCGAAAGCGUGGGGGAGCAAACAGGAUUAGAUACCCUGGUAGUCCACGCCGUAAACGAAGAGUGCUAAUUGUUCAGGGUUUCCCCCCCUUUU